rnacentral:lncRNA from 1 species
CCAUUUUAACCAUACAGUUAAAUCCAAUUCACUACAACCAUGUCCAAUUUGAAUAAAUGAGCAAAGGAAAAACAAUUUCAUUAAGCCCAAAUAUUAUGAGCCCAAGUGAGAAAAAAAAAAGGAGAGGCCAAUAGGAAAAACAAGUAACAGCUAGCGCAAAUUUCCCAAUUUGCUACUUCCAGCUGCUACAAUACCAGCUUCACAAGCCACGCACAACGCAACCAAUAUCGAAAUGAC